GGCCGCCGCCGCCAUGAUUCCGGCGCCCGCGCCGCCAAAGUUCGCGGGGGCGCCCCGUGCCGCGGCGGGGCUCGGCCGGGGCCGGGGCCCGGGGCGCGGGCGGCCGCCGCGGUCCCCCCCACGCCGGCGGCCGAGGGAUCGCGGGGAGCGCGGCGGGCGAGGGCGGGGGAGGCUUUUCUCUGCUCCUUUUUCCUCUGGCUUUUGGGCGGCUCGGCGAGGGCCCCUGCCGGCGGGAGUCGGGAGCGGCCGGGCCACGCCGCGAGCGGGGCGCGGGGCCCGGGUCGCCCUUGGGGAGCAGGGGGCGCGGGCCCGGGGCUGGGUGGGGAGCGGGCUGCAGGGGUGCAGGCGAGCCAGGCCAGGCCGUGCGUGGGCAGGGCGGGGGCGGCGAGCGUGCCCGGUGCGGGCUCCCCCUGAGCGCGCGGGGCCGCUGGGGUCACCGGCGGUGCGGGGGACUCGCUCCUCCGUGGGGGCUCGGUCCGGCGCGCCGGAGCUGGGGUGCCCGCAACGCGGCACGCCGGAUGUCCCCUCAGGCGUGCGCGGAGUGACAGAAGUUGGAGAAGACCGGGGGCUUCUGAGUGCCUGCGGGCGGUGGGUGAGGGCGGCGUUCAGCCCAGACCCCCGCAUCUCGGAGCCCCCAAGUCGGGGCUUCGAAGGCCCCUUCUGCGGAAGCCGGAGUGGAGGGGCGUCCUCCCCCUUCCCGGGGGCUGGAGCCCGGCGAUCCCAGGAAACUCCUCCAGAAGUUGUCAGGCGGCUCCAGGCUGUGCCCCGGAGCUUGCCCCAGGGAUCCAGGGAGGCCUGGGGUGAGGGAAGGAAGAUGGUGAGGUUAGGGUGUGAUCUGCUUUUCCCCUUGUUUGGGUCUUUCUCCUUUAGACACUUGGCAGCAGACUUCCAAAAAAGCAGGCGCGUUGGAGGGGGGAGGGGGCAGAGGCCUGGUGGGGGUGGGGAUUGGCCUUGCUGGUCAGAAAUGCCACGUUGGCAGUUGGCCGUGAGUUUUGGGCCUUGUCUCCAAACGGGUGACUCUGUAACUCCAAAAAGCUUAAGAGGGACCCAGGAAAUCAGUCUGUCUGUCUAUCUAUCUAUAUGUAUUUUAACUUACAGGACACAGAUUUGGGGGUUGGAAAGGGUUAAGAUUCAGGGUGCCAGUGGAGGCAAAGUUGAAUUGGUUAAAUUUGGGGUCUGCGUCCCAAGAGCCAACAGCCACUAUUUUCUCAAAUGUUCGCACCACCUUUGGGGUCUGCAGACCUUACAGAGACAGGCUUUGUGGUCCAGAUAGGAUUUCUCUUUGCCUGCCUCAUCUGUUUCUGGGGUAUGCAGGCCGGAAGGUCUUGCUGCCAGCCUGGGCACCCUGGAAAUCUCAGGCCUGGCCUCGGAUACUUGAGGCAGGUGUCCUAAACUGACACCUUUGGGGAUUGGGGUCAAGGGACAGGGGCAUCCGCUCAGGACCCCUUCAGCCCUGUGCUGGGCUGGCUGGCACCUGUGCACAGGUUUUCUUCUGUGCUCAUUGCCAGGAGGACUGCUGAGGUCCCCAGAUGUCUGGUGUUAUGGUGGGGGGCUGUGCACCUCCCCAUGGACCCCUCAGAAAGCCCCAGCCUCCCCCUGCCAUUUGCAUCCAAGAUGGACUCUCCGCUGCCGCUCCUCCGGCUUCCUUGUCAUCAUCCCUCACGCCCUCCAGCACUGCCUCCUGCUCGCGGGUUGCCAAGCCGCGGCCUGGCCGGCGGUGGCAGUGGCGGAGUUAGACAAAGCCCCCGCCUCCCCGCCGGAGAGCACAUCCCACCCCCCCCAGGCGCCCCAAGUGGCGGGAAGGCCGCCAGCUCCCCAGGCCCAGGCCGCUCUUUGUCUGGCGUGGGGGCGGGGAGCUGCGCCUGGCCCCAGGAGCUGCUGGCCUCUGCCAAUCCCUCCCUCGGCUCCGGGCCCUCCCUGGUCCCCGCACACUGCGUGCAUUGUCUGUGAUGCUCGGAGACUGCCGUGCUCACGCCCAGUCUGGUUUUCUCCCUGGCCUCCUGCAGCCCGCUGCACUGGCCCUCCCCGUGUCUGCCGGAAGGAGUGGGCAUGAGUAGAACUCAGGGCCCUUCUGCCAACUCUCCCCAGGGCCUCACACAACCCCCCUCCUGUUCAGCAGAGUAAGAGACUGGCACUGACACACGAUUGGGGUCACCUACCAUAUCACCUGGUGAUGGGAAAGGCAAGCCCUCGGCUGUUGUCUGACCCCAGCCCCCCACCCAAACCAGGUGGAGAAACUGAACCCCAGAGAGGGAAAGGUCUCUUCCAAGGUCACAGCCAGACCAAGUCCUGGUCCAGGCACUCGUCUGUAGGAAAGCUGAUGGGACAGGAGGCAGGGAGGUGAGAAACACGGGACCAGCAACAAGAGGUGAGGGCGGUCCAGGGAGUGAGCUCCCGAGUCCCGCUCAUCUCCUGCCCACAACCCGGAAUGUCCUGGACCCUGGGCUGCUCUGCAGGAGUGUGUACCCCCCUGGGGUUGCACUUAGCGUCCUGGCCUUCCAGAGAGGUGUGAUCUCUUGUGGCAGUCAGGGCUGGAACCCGGAUCUGGGGUUGCAAAGACCACACUCACUGCCCACAUCAGGAGGUUCAGGAAGUUGGCGUUUGCCUGCUGUGGUGAGGGGUCCUUGGGGGUGGGGGGGCACCCACCCCGCCCUGUCCCUGUCUCCAGUCACUGCACGUCUGUGGUUGCCUUGGAUGGAGGUCGCAGUACUGCUGGCGGUUCGUCCCUUGCCUGAGCACUGUGGGCCCCGUAGCACAGGUGUCUCACCAUGGCUGCUUGAGAGGCGUGGCAGCUGGGGCCAGGACAGGCCCCGUGAUGUGCCCUCUUACCAGCUGAGAGGCGGCAGGAACCAUGUUCCCUGACUGGGCACCCCACAUCCGACCCUAAACCAGGGCCCCGGCUUGGGGUGGGAGAGGUAAAAUCGGGGCAGGCCUGAGAGCGAGGAGGACAUCUCGGGUACAGAGCUGUUCCCAGCUCCUGGCCAGAAGGACCGAGGGACAGGGCUCGGGGUGCCAGCCUGCCCUGUGGCGUGUGGCUCAGGAGAACGCCCACCCUCUCCGGACUGUGUGUCUCCUCCUGGUGCGG